AUCUUUCAAUACUUGCUCAAAAUCAUAUUUAGUGUUCCAGGAAUACAUUACAUCUGUCAAUUACAAAUCUGGGAAAUGUACAAGACAUGGAAGUUCUGAAAUCCCCUGCUGAGCCUUGUCCUGCAGAUCGAGUACUUGUCUCCUUCUGCAGCACCUCCUCAACAGCAGCACAUCCCCGAUGGUACUCUGCAACCUUAUCUUCCUCUCCCACAUGUACAAGGUAAACAUGUUUACAGCUCCUGCACAGACGCUGGGUGGUUCAGACUCACAUGUCACACAUGUUGUCGUCAGCAACAAGAAAAGCCC